rnacentral:rRNA from 1 species
GGAAUAUUGCGCAAUGGGGGCAACCCUGACGCAGCCAUGCCGCGUGAAUGAAGAAGGCCUUCGGGUUGUAAAGUUCUUUCGGUAGCGAGGAAGGCAUUUAGUUUAAUAGACUAGGUGAUUGACGUUAACUACAGAAGAAGCACCGGCUAACUCCGUGCCAGCAGCCGCGGUAAUACGGAGGGUGCGAGCGUUAAUCGGAAUAACUGGGCGUAAAGGGCACGCAGGCGGUGACUUAAGUGAGGUGUGAAAGCCCCGGGCUUAACCUGGGAAUUGCAUUUCAUACUGGGUCGCUAGAGUACUUUAGGGAGGGGUAGAAUUCCACGUGUAGCGGUGAAAUGCGUAGAGAUGUGGAGGAAUACCGAAGGCGAAGGCAGCCCCUUGGGAAUGUACUGACGCUCAUGUGCGAAAGCGUGGGGAGCAAACA